GACAGCUCAGUCGGUACGAGUGUGCUGCUGAUAACACCAAGGUUGCGGGUUCAAUCCCUGUAUGGCAGCUGCA